GAGGGUGGAGGGCCCUGUGGCAUGGGCGCCGGCAUGUGGCGGUGAGCUCCGCCCUGCCACCCAUGGUAGAGGAGCAAAGGGAUGGGAGGAGGGAGAAGGAGUGACACAUGGGCUCGAACAUUUUCUUUGAAAAUAACUUUCCCCCUUCAAAAGAGCAAGGUGCGGCUGGUAAAAAAUGCCCCAAAAAUACCCAUUGGAAAAAUAAAAUCAACAAAAAGAGACUUGAAUUAACUGCAGAGCCCAACAGGUUUGUACAAAAUUUGAAAAGGAAAACAGUUGAAAUUGAAAC
rnacentral:lncRNA from 1 species